UACGGGGGGGGUAAGCGUUGUUCGGAAUUACUGGGCGUAAAGGGCUCGUAGGCGGCCAACUCAGUCAGACGUGAAAUCCCUCAGCUUAACUGGGGAACUGCGUCUGAUACUGGAUGGCUUGGAUUUGGGAGAGGGAUGCGGAAUUCCAGGUGUAGCGGUGAAAUGCGCAGAUAUCUGGAGGAACACCGGUGGCGAAGGCGGCAUCCUGGACCGACAUUGACGCUGAGGCGCGAAAGCCAGGGGAGCAAACGGG
rnacentral:rRNA from 1 species